rnacentral:rRNA from 1 species
UGGGUCCUACGGGGGGCAGCAGUGAGGAAUAUUGGUCAAUGGGAGAGAUCCUGAACCAGCCAAGCCGCGUGAGGGAAGACGGCCCUAUGGGUUGUAAACCUCUUUUGUCGGAGAACAAAACCCGGGACGUGUCCCGGACUGCGUGUAUCCGAAGAAAAAGCAUCGGCUAACUACGUGCCAGCAGCCGCGGUAAUACGUAGGGGGCAAGCGUUAUCCGGAUUUACUGGGUGUAAAGGGAGCGUAGACGGUGCAGCAAGUCUGAUGUGAAAGGUCGGGGCCCAACCCCGGGACUGCAUUGGAAACUG